GCUCAGAAGGAGGGGGGUGUCCUGUGGAUCGGGCUCAUUUAUGGUCCUAACAUGGCUCCCUCUAGAAGAUGGCUUCCCUUAUGUUAACCGUGGGCUAUAUAUUUCUCUUCGCUUUCAGGCGACCGACGCUAACACGUGCAGGGGCUGGGGGGGCGGCCGGGAGCUCCUCUGAGCGCCGGUUCUGUCGCUCCCUGUCUGUCCCGUGAGCUGUGGGCGGGGAGGAUGCUGAGUUGGCUGUAGCUGGGAUGGGACCGUCCGCAUUCAGGGCAGGGGCGCAAAAUGAGCCCCAGGCGGCGGCGGGCUGGCGCAGCGGGGGCGCGGGGUGCGGAGCCCAGCUGACCAUUCGGGCAGCACGUGAGGGCGGCCAACAGUAAUCAGGCAGCUUCUGAGAUAACAGCAGGAGGACCAGGCCCGCGGAUAAUCAAGGAGCUUGCUGACAGCCCUCCGCCUGACUAAGCAUCUCACAGGAGCGCCGAGAAGCUACAGUGACCGAUCUAAGCUUCACAUGUCAUAAGAAAUAUGAAAGACAAUUGCCCCUGCACAGAGGACUCUGAACUUCAGCCCCCAAGGCCACAUUCCCCCUCCCUGUCUGAUUCUCACAGUGUGGUUUGGAAAAAUGCUUAGAACUGCAUGUAGGCAAACUAAUCUGCAACCAGUAGAAAGAAUAACUCGUUAGCAGAAAAUUUAUGUCCUCUGCCCAAACUGUUCCUUCUGUCCCAGAUAAAGAAGGAACUGAGGUUUUCUCAGAUUCCUCAGGAAUGUUGCAUUCAGCAGAUCCGCUGUGGAGAGGCGCCCGACGUUCUGCCGUCAUCCAUCACCUGACACUCCUGACACUCGCCCCCCCGUCCCCCCCCAUCUGGCUUAUAUAAGUCGUUUCCAAAUCACAUCCCUUUAAGAUGGGUUUUUUAGGACGAUAGUCCACCAUCUUCUGAUAUGCUAGCUUAUCGCUUAUUAAAGUUUUUUCUCUA